rnacentral:rRNA from 1 species
AUGGCAUUGCCGGGUAGCUAAGUACGGAAGAGAUAACCGCUGAAGGCAUCUAAGCGGGAAACUCGUCUGAAGAUUAGGUAUCCCGGGGACUUGAUCCCCCUGAAGAGUCGUUCGAGACCAGGACGUUGAUAGGUCGGGUGUGGAAGCGCAGUAAUGCGUUAAGCUAACCGAUACUAAUUGCUCGUGAGGCUUGAUCCUAUAACACUGAUGGUUAUG